CUGAUUAUCGCGUAUGGCACUAGUACAAGCAUGUGUGCGUCGUCACAAUACGAAAUUGCCGCCUACAGGCCCAAAUGCGACGCGAUUUAUCGGUCCCGGACAUCAAAAAAUCACUAAUCGACGAAUAAAAGCGUGUUCCGCCCCGAAUCUUCGCAAGGUCGUUACAUAUAUCGACGCAGCUCAUUACCAGCAACAUGAAGGUGGUCCCCGAUGAAAAACGCUGUUUUCGGUUUUCCGCUUUUUGCUCGAGAUAUUGUAUACCCCGGCUCUCGGCCCGCUCUGCAUCUAGAAAGUACUUUUCACGGCGCAUCUUUUUGGUCUCGACAUCCGAUCGCGUGAAUCGGGCUAAUUUUGACGCUACGACGCCAUUUUGACGUCAUGUAUUUCUGCAAAGUUUCAAAGCUUAGCCAAAUGAAGGUUAGGGC